UACGUAGGGCGCAAGCGUUGUCCGGAAUUAUUGGGCGUAAAGAGCUCGUAGGCGGUCUGUUACGUCCGCUGUGAAAACCCAGGGCUUAACCCUGGGCUUGCAGUGGAUACGGGUAGACUAGAGGCAGGUAGGGGAGACUGGAAUUCCUGGUGUAGCGGUGGAAUGCGCAGAUAUCAGGAGGAACACCGAUGGCGAAGGCAGGUCUCUGGGCCAUUACUGACACUGAGCCGCGAAAGCGUGGGGAGCGAGCCGG
rnacentral:rRNA from 1 species